GAUGAACGCUAGCUACAGGCUUAACACCUGCAAGUCGAGGGGAAACGGCAUUUAGUGCUUGCACCGAAUGGACGUCGACCGGCGCACGGGUGAGUAACGCGUAUCCAACCUUCCCAUAACUAAGGAAUAACCUGCCGAAAGGUAGACUAAUACCUUAUGUAAUCCUUUGAUGGCAUCAGAUAAGGAUAAAAGAUUUAUCGGUUAUGGAUGGGGAUGCGUCUGAUUAGCUUGUUGGCGGGGUAACGGCCCACCAAGGCAACGAUCAGUAGGGGUUCUGAGAGGAAGGUCCCCCACAUUGGAACUGAGACACGGUCCAAACUCCUACGGGAGGCAGCAGUGAGGAAUAUUGGUCAAUGGACGAAAGUCUGAACCAGCCAAGUAGCGUGCAGGAUGACGGCCCUAUGGGUUGUAAACUGCUUUUGUAUGGGGAUAAAGUCAAUCACGUGUGAUUGUUUGCAGGUACCAUACGAAUAAGGACCGGCUAAUUCCGUGCCAGCAGCCGCGGUAAUACGGAAGGUUCGGGCGUUAUCCGGAUUUAUUGGGUUUAAAGGGAGCGUAGGCCGGAGAUUAAGUGUGUUGUGAAAUGUAGACGCUCAACGUCUGACUUGCAGCGCAUACUGGUUUCCUUGAGUACGCACAACGUUGGCGGAAUUCGUCGUGUAGCGGUGAAAUGCUUAGAUAUGACGAAGAACUCCGAUUGCGAAGGCAGCUGACGGGAGCGCAACUGACGCUGAAGCUCGAAGGUGCGGGUAUCGAACAGG
rnacentral:rRNA from 1 species